rnacentral:ncRNA from 1 species
CUCACCGCCGGGCGGGGGACGCCGACAGGGUUGGGGAGCCCGAUGACCGGUCCCAUCUCCGAGGCGGCCACGGGUCCAAGGGAGUCCGCGGCCGCCGUCCCGGCGAAGGAG